rnacentral:rRNA from 1 species
AUGUCGACGCCGGCGGACGGCGCGGCGUACUGGCUCCGGUGGCAGGUGUUGGUGUGCGGUGCGCUCAUCGCCGUGCCCACGGCGCUGGCGGCGGCGCUGCUGCCGCGGCUGCGGAGGUCGGUGGCGCCGCUCCGCGCCACGGACCUCUGGCUCCCCUGCUGGCCCCGCCUCCACCCGGGCUGGCUCCUCGGCUACCGCGCCUUCGCGCUCGCCGCCGCCGCCGCGCUCCUCGUCCGCGACAUCGUCCCCCACGGCCCCAGGGUCUUCUUCUUCUACACCCAGUGGACCUUUUUAUUAGUCACCAUAUAUUUUGCGGUUGCGACUGCUAUAUCAGCUCAUGGAUGUUGGUCAUACUCAAAGAAAAGCUUGAGAAAAGCUGAUGAAUAUGGCGAUGUUGAAAAUCGUGACCUCUCAGCUUCUAUUUCUGGAGAUAGGAAAAACGGUGAGAUAGACAAGAUGGCAAGCUAUUAUGAACAAAUAGCAAAUGAGAAAAGAGCUGCUUUCUGGGGACGUUGUAUGCAAAUCAUCUACCAGGCUAGUGCAGGAGCGACAAUGUUGACUGAUGUCACAUUUUGGGGACUCCUUGUGCCAUUCUUUUACCGUGAUAAGUUUGGGCUUUCCAUGGUCACUGAUGGCAUGCACUCUGUAAAUGCUGUUCUCCUACUCAUAGACACACUUCUCAACAAUAUGCCUUUUCCCUGGUACCGGAUCGCUUUCUUCGUAUUUUGGAGUUGCUCCUAUGUGACCUUCCAGUGGGUCAUUCAUGCUUCUGGAGCUUUAUCCUGGUGGCCUUACCCGUUUCUCGACCUUGCAUCGCCCGGGGCUCCGCUAUGGUACCUCGCCAUGGCCGUCGCUCAUGUCCCUUGCUUCUCUGCGUAUUGGCUGGUUGUCAAGGCGAAGCGCGCUUACUUCCCAAGGAUGUUCCCACAGGCUUACGUGAGGACAAGUUAG